GCUGGGUUAGCUUAAUUGGUAAAGCCACGGUUUUGUAAUCCGUAGACUGGGAGUUCAAGUCUCCCACUUAGCCCA
rnacentral:tRNA from 1 species